CAGUAGCCGCGGUAAUACGUAGGUGGCAAGCGUUGUCCGGAAUUAUUGGACGUAAAGGGCUCGCAGGCGGUUUCUUAAGUCUGAUGUGAAAGCCCCCGGCUCAACCGGGGAGGGUCAUUGGAAACUGGGAAACUUGAGUGCAGAAGAGGAGAGUGGAAUUCCACGUGUAGCGGUGAAAUGCGUAGAGAUGUGGAGGAACACCAGUGGCGAAGGCGACUCUCUGGUCUGUAACUGACGCUGAGGAGCGAAAGCGUGGGGAGCGAACAGGAUUAGAUACCCCCGUAGUCCCUGUCUCUUAUAA
rnacentral:rRNA from 1 species